rnacentral:rRNA from 1 species
AGUGAACGCUGGCGGUAGGCCUAACACAUGCAAGUCGAACGGCAGCACAGUAAGAGCUUGCUCUUACCGGUGGCGAGUGGCGGACGGGUGAGGAAUACAUCGGAAUCUACUUUUUCGUGGGGGAUAACAUAGGGAAACUUACGCUAAUACCGCAUACGACCUACGGGUGAAAGCAGGGGAUCUUCGGACCUUGCGCGAUUGAAUGAGCCGAUGUCGGAUUAGCUAGUUGGCGGGGUAAAGGCCCACCAAGGCGACGAUCCGUAGCUGGUCUGAGAGGAUGAUCAGCCACACUGGAACUGAGACACGGUCCAGACUCCUACGGGAGGCAGCAGUGGGGAAUAUUGGACAAUGGGCGCAAGCCUGAUCCAGCCAUACCGCGUGGGUGAAGAAGGCCUUCGGGUUGUAAAGCCCUUUUGUUGGGAAAGAAAAGCAGCAGGUUAAUACCCCGCUGUUCUGACGGUACCCAAAGAAUAAGCACCGGCUAACUUCGUG